GCGGCGCCAGGGGUAUUCACGUGUAUUCAUAUGAAUACCCAAGAUUUGGCCUCAAAAAAUUAAUACAUGUCUUAUUUAACGGCCCACAGCCCAUAGCCCACACAGGAUACCGGCUACACUCGUCCCGUUCACUCGAUCCAACCCCCACUCGGCCGUUCCCCAAGUCCCCAACCUAACCUAGCGACUGCGGCCAGCGGCGGUGGCGGCGGCGAGUAGCGGCCAGCGGCGACGACCAAUACUGAUUGCAAGCAGCGGCAAGCGGAGCCGCUGAACGGGCGACCAGCGGCAGGCCAGCAGCGGACCAGGUGGAUUGGUAGUGCAGUCAAAUUGGACAAAUUGCUGCUAGUGCUGGAUUUGAAUGCAACGAGCUACUGCCUAAGAUGAAGAAGAAGGGUGUUAGUAUUGUUGCAUUGUGGGAAAGAGCUUCCAAUGCAAAUAAAAGAACUUCGACAUCUACACCAAAUCCUCCUGAUGUUGAAGUUGAGAAUAGUAGUAUCAUUCCUCCUACUAU